GAUUAACGCUGGCGGCGUGCAUAACACAUGCAAGUCGAACGAUGAAACUUAAAUGAUUUCUUCGGAAUGAACUUAAGUGGAUUAGUGGCGGACGGGUGAGUAACGCGUGAGUAACCUGCCUUACACAAGGGGAUAGCCGUUGGAAACGACGAAUAAUACCCUAUGAAACUAUCACUUCGCGUGAAGCGAUAGUCAAAGUGUUAGCGGUGUAAGAUGGACUUGCGUCUGAUUAGCUAGUUGGUGAGAAAAAAGCCCACCAAGGCAACGAUCAGUAGCCGGCUUGAGAGAGUGUACGGCCACAUUGGGACUGAGACACGGCCCAGACUCCUACGGGAGGCAGCAGUGGGGAAUUUUGCACAAUGGGGGAAACCCUGAUGCAGCGACGCCGCGUGAUUUAGAAGGCCUUCGGGUUGUAAAAAUCUUUUGUAUAGGAAGAAAAUGACAGUACUAUACGAAUAAGGUCCGGCUAAUUACGUG
rnacentral:rRNA from 1 species